AGGUAGCUUUGCCCCUGGCAUAACGGCAGUGGUCCCACAAUGUCAACAUGCACAUGUGCAAACCGACAGUCCGGCAGAGGGAAGGAUCCCAAGGGGGUCACAGUAUGUCGCUGAACUUUGGAACGCUGGCAUGCGAGGCACUCUCGUGUCCAGUGUCGGACAUCCCGGUUUAUUCCUGGCCACACGAACCUCGCUGUGCAUAGCCUCAAAAAUGCUGCGACGGAGGUUCGAGGGGACGAACGGUCGGGCCCUGCCUGUAGACAUGUUGCAGCAUACGGAUCCUGUGGGUUCUGCCAACCAUUGCAGCUUCAAGGCGCUGGUUGGGGACGUCAGUAGACGCUUCAAUUCUCCAUCACUGCGUUGAGCCGUCGUAAGUGUGAUGAAGUCUACGCCGCUCGGCAGGCUGAUGGCAUUCACUGGACCGCGCGAAAGAGCGUCGGCAGCAGCAUUAUCCGUGCCACUAACACGGCGUAUAUCUCUCGUGAAUUCUGCGAUGUACGACAUUUGGGGGAGCUCCCGUGCCACGUGCGCACCAGAAUCGGAGUUCGCGCGCAAUGCGUAGGUGAGUGGCUUGUGAUCCGUGAGCACAAAAAAUUCUUGUCCUUCCACAUAAUGUCGGAAAUGCCGGAUAGCCGCGUAUAUGGCCAGGAGUUCCCUACCGAAGGUGCUGUACCUUCGUUCGGACGGGCUCAGUUUUGUGGAGAAGAAGGAGAUUGGUCGCCACACUCCGCUCACCCUCUGCUGCAACACGGCUCCAAUCGCUGCAUCGGAGGCGUCUACCAUAACACACUGAGGAACACCCAGCUGCGGGUACGUGAGCAUAGUAGCAUUUGCGAGAGCUUCCUUAAUCAUCCGGAAUGCUUGUGUGGAUUGGUCGUUCCACUGAAUGGCAGUUGCCUUAGAUCCAGAUGCCGCAAGUAGGCUGUGGAGAGGGUGAAGGAUGUUGGCGCAUUUCGGGAUAAACCUACGAUAGAAAUUCACUAGUCCCAGGAACUCUCGAAGCUGGCGGAGGUUUCUCGGCUGUGGAAACUGCCGUACUGCUUCCACCUUGUCCUUCUGGGGCUGUACUCCGGCACUUGAAAUGCUGUGGCCCAAAAAUGAUAG